GUGGGGAAUAUUGGACAAUGGGCGAAAGCCUGAUCCAGCCAUGCCGCGUGUGUGAAGAAGGUCUUCGGAUUGUAAAGCACUUUAAGUUGGGAGGAAGGGUAGUAACCUAAUACGUUGCUACUUUGACGUUACCGACAGAAUAAGCACCGGCUAACUUCGUGCCAGCAGUCGCGGUAAUACGAAGGGUGCAAGCGUUAAUCGGAAUUACUGGGCGUAAAGCGCGCGUAGGUGGUUCAGUAAGUUGGAAGUGAAAUCCCCGGGCUCAACCUGGGAACUGCUUUCAAAACUGCUGAGCUAGAGUACGGUAGAGGGUGGUGGAAUUUCCUGUGUAGCGGUGAAAUGCGUAGAUAUAGGAAGGAACACCAGUGGCGAAGGCGACCACCUGGACUGAUACUGACACUGAGGUGCGAAAGCGUGGGGAGCAAACAGGAUUAGAUACCCGAGUAGUCC
rnacentral:rRNA from 1 species